rnacentral:rRNA from 1 species
UAUCUGGGUUGAUUCUGCCAGUAGUCAUAUCCUGUCUCAAAAGAUUAAGCCAUGC